CAUCUCAUACCAUUGGAAUGAAAGGAUGAAGCAAUGGGCUUGUGCCUUGUCACCAAGGUGCAAAGACAAGGCCACCAGUCUCAACAGGACCCCCAGCCCAGCCCCAAUGGACCCUCACCUCCUCUGAAGCAGACAAAAUGAUGACAAAGGUCUGAGCGAGGUCUGCAGGACCUGGUAUUUGGUAACCUGAAUCUAUUAUGGUCCACACCGUCCUGCAGUUCAGAAAUAAGACUGUCUUGCUUUCCUCACUGGAAUUAAACCUUGCAUUUCUCUUUUUUUUUAAAUUUUUUUGAGGUGGAACCAUGAAAUGAAGAGAGGCAAACCAUGGCUGCAUCUACAUCGUGCUUGUUAAAUUAAUCUUACCAAAUAAAAAGAUCAACAGGCCAUUCCCCA
rnacentral:lncRNA from 1 species